rnacentral:rRNA from 1 species
GACGAACGCUGGCGGCGUGCUUAACACAUGCAAGUCGAACGAAGUGGCGCACGGGUGAGUAACGCGUAAUCAACCUGCCCUUCAGAGGGGGACAACAGUUGGAAACGACUGCUCAUACCGCAUCCUGAAGGCGGGGGUUGCGUCUGCUUAGCUAGUUGGAGGGGUAACGGCCCACCAAGGCGAUGAUCAGUAGCCCGGAGGAGAGGAGGAACGGCCAGACUGGGACUGAGACACGGCCCAGACUGCUACGGGAGGCAGCAGGGGGGAAUCUGCCGCAAUGGACGAAAGUCUGACGGAGCAACGCGGCGUGAGGGAUGACGGCCUUCGGGUGGGAAAGCUCUGUUAAUCGGGAGGCGGUACCGGAAUAGAAAGCCACGGCUAACUACGUGCCAGCCGCCGCGGUAAUAC